UGGGGAAUUUUGGACAAUGGGGGCAACCCUGAUCCAGCCAUGCCGCGUGCGGGAAGAAGGCCUUCGGGUUGUAAACCGCUUUUGUCAGGGACGAAAAGGCUAAGGUUAAGAGCCGUAGCCGAUGACGGUACCUGAAGAAUAAGCACCGGCUAACUACGUGCCAGCAGCCGCGGUAAUACGUAGGGUGCAAGCGUUAAUCGGAAUUACUGGGCGUAAAGCGUGCGCAGGCGGUUGGGUAAGACAGAUGUGAAAUCCCCGGGCUUAACCUGGGAACUGCAUUUGUGACUGUCCGACUCGAGUAUGUCAGAGGGGGGUGGAAUUCCAAGUGUAGCAGUGAAAUGCGUAGAUAUUUGGAAGAACACCGAUGGCGAAGGCAGCCCCCUGGGGCAAAACUGACGCU
rnacentral:rRNA from 1 species